GCAAACUUGGUCAUUUAGAGGAAGUAAAAGUCGUAACAAGGUUUCCGUAGGUGAACCUGCGGAAGGAUCAUUACCAAUGUAUGACCUGAGCGCCUCUGAAUAAGAGGCGUUUGGUACUCAUCAUCCUUGUCUUUUGCGUACUACUUGUUUCCUCGGCGGGCUUGCCUGCCGAAUGGACAAUAUUAAACUCUUUUGUAAUUGCAAUCAGCGUCUGAAUAAACUAUAAUAGUUACAACUUUCAACAACGGAUCUCUUGGUUCUGGCAUCGAUGAAGAACGCAGC
rnacentral:misc_RNA from 1 species